rnacentral:rRNA from 1 species
UACGUAGGUGGCAAGCGUUGUCCGGAUUUACUGGGCGUAAAGGGCGCGUAGGCGGCGGGUCAAGUCGAGUGUGAAAGCCCCGGGCUCAACCUGGGAAUUGCGCUCGAGACUGGUCUGCUUGAGUUCGGGAGAGGAGCGUGGAAUUCCCAGUGUAGAGGUGAAAUUCGUAGAUAUUGGGAAGAACACCGGUGGCGAAAGCGGCUCUCUGGGACGGUACUGACGCUGAGACGCGAAAGCGUGGGGAGCGAACAGG